AGAGUUUAAUCAUGGCUCAGGAUGAACGCUAGCGACAGGCUUAACACAUGCAAGUCGAGGGGCAGCAUAAAAGUAGCAAUACUUGGUGGCGACCGGCGCACGGGUGAGUAACGCGUAUGCAACCUACCUAUCAGAGGGGAAUAACCCGGCGAAAGUCGGACUAAUACCGCAUAAAACAGGGACACCGCAUGGUGAUAUUUGUUAAAGAAAUUCGCUGAUAGAUGGGCAUGCGUUCCAUUAGGUAGUUGGUGAGGUAACGGCUCACCAAGCCGACGAUGGAUAGGGGAACUGAGAGGUUGGUCCCCCACACUGGUACUGAGACACGGACCAGACUCCUACGGGAGGCAGCAGUGAGGAAUAUUGGUCAAUGGGCGAGAGCCUGAACCAGCCAAGUCGCGUGAAGGAAGAAGGAUCUAUGGUUCGUAAACUUCUUUUGCAGGGGAAUAAAGUGCAGGACGUGUCCUGUUUUGUAUGUACCCUGAGAAUAAGGAUCGGCUAACUCCGUGCCAGCCGCCGC
rnacentral:rRNA from 1 species